rnacentral:rRNA from 1 species
UACGGAGGAUGCGAGCGUUAUCCGGAUUUAUUGGGUUUAAAGGGUGCGUAGGCGGCUUUUUAAGUCAGCGGUGAAAUUUUGCAGCUUAACUGUAACAGUGCCGUUGAUACUGGGGAGCUAGGAUUUGGUUGCUGUGGGUGGAAUGUGUGGUGUAGCGGUGAAAUGCUUAGAGAUCACACAGAAUAUCGAUUGCGAAGGCAGCUCACAAAGCCAAGAUUGACGCUGAGGCACUAAAGUGUGGGGAUCAAACAGGAUUA